GAUGAACGCUGGCGGCGUGCCUAAUACAUGCAAGUCGAGCGAACGGACGAGAAGCUUGCUUUUCUGAUGUUAGCGGCGGACGGGUGGGUAACACGUGGAUAACCUACCUAUAAGACUGGGAUAACUUCGGGAAACCGGAGCUAAUACCGGAUAAUAUUUUGAACCGCAUGGUUCAUAAGUGAAAGACGGUCUUGCUGUCACUUAUAGAUGGAUCCGCGCUGCAUUAGCUAGUUGGUAAGGUAACGGCUUACCAAGGCAACGAUGCAUAGCCGACCUGAGAGGGUGAUCGGCCACACUGGAACUGAGACACGGUCCAGACUCCUACGGGAGGCAGCAGUAGGGAAUCUUCCGCAAUGGGCGAAAGCCUGACGGAGCAACGCCGCGUGAGUGAUGAAGGUCUUCGGAUCGUAAAACUCUGUUAUUAGGGAAGAACAUAUGUGUAAGUAACUGUGCACAUCUUGACGGUACCUAAUCAGAAAGCCACGGCUAACUACGUG
rnacentral:rRNA from 1 species